GCCAUGAUCAUCACACAGGCAACCAAUAUUGCAGAAUUUGAAAAACACACACAAAAAAUGCAAACAACAGAUUAAAGGCCUGAGGCAUAAUUAAAUUUUCCUUACAGAAAGAAAUUGCAAUGUGUUUGCAGUGCUUUUGCUUGUAGUGAAGGUAAGCAAUAGGAAAGAAGACAGAGAUAUAUAAAAUCAAAUAUUGGUACAGAAAAUAUGAAUAGUUGCUCCCUCACACACAAUAUUAAAAGCUGGUGUCAUCAACUGAAACAAAAUAUGUGGACGUUUGUGGUAUAUAUUCAAAGAGUAUCAUCAAAUUUAGCAUCCUAAUUUGUAUCAGCAGAAAUAGUAAGAUAACUACUGAGUUAGGGACAUAUUGCUGGCUGAGAUUGCUGUAAAGUGUAGGAAAUUCAGCAACACUUUGAAGUUGAUAUUUCACACCUCUGCUUUAGCCUUCCAUUUCAGUGGUGAGAGAAUUGACUGGGCUGAGCAUAUUUUAUAUUAAACAAACAUUCCUAUAUAGAAGUAGAUAUAUGAUGUUCAACUUGGCUAACGACUGAGCUACUGUUUUUUUUAUUAUUAUUAUUACACUAAAUCUAGUUUGCAUAGGAACAUCUUCCAGACUAGCUUUGAACUCUUUGUAUCUGUUCACAGAGUUGAAAUAAGAGUGGGGUGGCAUACUACCUUGAUUUUCCAAAAGGGCAAAACAUGAAAUUACAAUGCUUUCAAAAAACUAGGCUUUCUCUAUUCACUCCCUCCUGACUUACAUACUUUUCAAAAAUUCUUACAUUCUUCACAGUAGGCUAUCAGAUUAUUUUGACCAGGAGUUAAAUUUGCAGUUGGUAACACCACCUGUUGUGGAUUCUUCAGGACUUGUUAUCCCCCCGCCAGUCAUCAGCAGCCUUUGUCCUUUGAAAAGCCAGUCUAGUAUAGGAAGAUGAAGGGAAUGUGCAUAUCUGAUUUUCAAACAGAAUAUAUCAACUCUUCCGAUGCAUAGUUGGAAACUUCAUAGGGGUCUUCUCAGUGAGAUGUCAUUACCUGCUAUCGCUGUUAAAAAGAUAAUAUAGGUCAUAUGUUACUUUGUAUUUUGGCUACGAGGACAAUGAUAAGACUCUCAGAGAAAGGAAGCUUCCUAGGAUUAGCUAAGUCUGCAAUAUAAUAAAAAUUUCAAAAUCUCUUAAGUAUGUGGAAAUCUGUAGCAACUCACCAAAGAUGAGAGUUUCAAAUUACAUAAAAAUGGAGUUUUCUAAGAGACAAAAAGGACUAUUUAAAAACAAUAGAGAUUAACGUAAGUUAAUCAUUUAUCUGACAGGAAGUUGCCUCUUUCCACUCCAAAAGGAAGAAUAAAUUAUAAAUACAGGCAAAAAUCUGUCAAACUCAGCCUUCCUUCCUAGGAUUGUCAACUCCAGCUGAAUGCCCUCUCUGCCUCACUGCCAGAGAUUGUGUACUACAGCAGAACAGGACCUUUAAACACCCGAGGAAUGGGGAAAUAAUUUUUUCUCAAGCUGUACACCCAUCUCCAGUCUUCUACCUUCCAUUUAGGAGUUCUCAUUUCUUGCCAGCAAAAAAUCCUCUGAGAAUCAGUCCUUCCUGAAGAACAUGCAAUAUCUAUUCAUUAGCUGUCUGUUUAGAUACAACGUGGUGCCUUUUAUUAUCAAAAUUAAAACUAUUUUGACAAAUGCCACUGCUUUAUAGUCCCCAAAAAUUUCUUCUUUGCACACCAUUGGGAUUUUUCUACAACUCAAAGAGUACCUUUAAAGGUGCAUUUUUAAUUUGAUAUACUGCACAAACUUUCUAUGUUCAAUUUAUUUAUUUGAACAACCCAUUUCUUGCUUUUGGGAAUGUCAUUCAGGUCCCAGAGUGCAUCACAAUUUUUUAAAAAAAAUCCAAAGCCAAACUAGUGCCAAUUCAGGGACUGUGAUUCAAGCAAAACCUUAUCAACUCAGCCUCACCCUUCAAAGGUGGAAUUCCAGGAAAAGGAAGUGAAAGAGUCUCUGAUAUGAAGGAAAACAAUACAGAAUAAGGUGAAAACAGGAAAUAUAAAAUAAAUUCCAUUGCUGCUUCUUAUGGCACAAGCAUUUAAUAAUUAAGCUCAAGUACAAGUAAAACAUGGAAAUAUGAUUAGAGCUUUAUCAAAUUUUGUUUUACAUGGACUGGCAAAAAAAGAUGAACCAAUGGACAGUGUGUUGGAUGUGAGCAAGUUUUGGGUAACAGAGGCCUAUAUCCAUAAAAUUAAGAAGACAUCUAAAAACAUGCCAACCUGAAACACAGAAGUACAGAUUAUUUCAAAAGAAUAUGACUCCAUGUGAAGGAAACAACAUUUCAUACACUUUUGUGCAGGAAGAAAAAGCCAAAAGAAUAUACUUGUUGGAUCAAACAUUAACCUCCCAUCUUGAAAAUUUCUAUCUAUUUGAGCUAUGAAUUAUACCAAUAGGAUAGAUUGCAUAAAAAUAAAUUACCAAGCACAAGUUACAACUGGACUCUUUAUUAAAGGUUGCAUGCUUUCUUCUAGAAUAAUGUAACUUUCUUGGUUUUCCAUUUAUUUGAAGAAAAAGCUUUUUUGGUAGAACGGACAUGUUUUUGCUUAUAAGAAUUCUUAGGAAAUAGGGAGAUGGGGGACAUGAAGAGAUUUUUAAUCACAAGUAAUUUUCAUUAUUUCAAACAAAAGUAAUCUGAAACAAGACUUUCUGUUAUCACAAUCCCAAAGACUCUUGUUUAAAUAAAAAUCACCCUCUAGCUUCUUUGCAAAGAAUCUUAAAUCCUCCAUAAAAUGCUUGUCAUUUAUAAACUUAGGAAACUCUUGUAUAGAAUAUCUGGAAAGAAAUAUUUUGAUAUACUCAGAAUUUUUCCUUUAUUUUUCAUUCUUGGUAGUGCUAUUAUGAUUAAUGUUCAAAUUGGAACUGAGUCUAUUUCUGAUGCUUACCAUAGAAAGGAGCCUAUGAGACAGUGCAACCAGAAUUUGAAGGACAGGUGAAUUCUGCACUGAAUUAUCUGUACAAAAUAGAUUAUAAACUGCUAAAUGAAACUGAGUUCAGAGUUUGCUUAAAAUAAAUUAGAUGGAAUAUAGAUUGUACUUUGUCCCAUGGAAUGUAAUUUUGCCACCGUGUCUUACUUGAAGACAAAAACAUAAUUGCUGCAGAAAUUGUUAUUUGAUACAUUUCAUUAUUGGUUUAUUUAUUCAUCAUUUUAAUAAAUAUUAUACAGUCACAUUAACCUGUCCAAUAUUUGCAAAACUCACACUGCAAAUAUUAAUUUUGCACUUGUGUUUACAAUAAACACUUUGCUUCUCAUCAUCAUUUCCAAUUGUCUAUC